rnacentral:lncRNA from 1 species
UUCUGUUCUGGAUGGGAAACGGGGGUCUCACAUUCUCCCUUGGGGUCUCUUCCAACUCUAGUAUUAUUAUUACUAUUAUUACUAUUAUUAUUAUCGGAGACUGGGUGGACAUCUGUUGGAAGAGCUUUGAUUGUACAUUUCCUGUAUGACAGCUGUUGGACUGGAUGGCCCUUGGGGUGUCUUCUAUUAUUAUUAUUAUUAUUAUUAUUAUUAUUAUCGGAGACUGGGUGGACAUCUGUUGGGAGUGCUUUGAUUGUACAUUUCCUGUAUGACAGCUGUUGGACUGGAUGGCCCUUGGGGUGUCUUCUAUUAUUAUUAUUAUUAUUAUUAUUAUUAUUAUUAUUAUUAUUAUUAUUAUUAUUGGAGACUGGACUGACAUCUGUUGGGAGUGCUUUGAUUGUACAUUUCCUGUAUGACAGCUGUUGGACUGAAUGGCCCUUGGGGUGUCUUUUAUUAUUAUUAUUAUUAUUAUUAUUAUUAUUAUUAUUAUUAUUAUUAUUAUUGGAGACUGGACUGACAUCUGUUGGGAGAGCUUUGAUUGUACAUUUCCUGUAUGACAGCUGUUGGACUGGAUGGCCCUUGGGGUGUCUUCUAUUAUUAUUAUUAUUAUUAUUAUUAUUAUUAUUAUUAUUAUUAUUAUUAUCGGAGACUGGGUGGACAUCUGUUGGGAGUGCUUUGAUUGUACAUUUCCUGUAUGACAGCUGUUGGACUGGAUGGCCCUUGGGGUGUCUUCUAUUAUUAUUAUUAUUAUUAUUAUUAUUAUUAUUAUUAUUAUUAUUAUUGGAGACUGGACUGACAUCUGUUGGGAGAGCUUUGAUUGUGCAUUUCCUGUAUGACAACUGUUGGACUGGAUGGCCCUUGGGGUGUCUUUUAUUAUUAUUAUUAUUAUUAUUAUUAUUAUUAUUAUUAUUAUUAUUAUUGUAUGAUACAGAAAACAAGAUAGAUAUGCUGGAUUUCAUUUCACAAAAUCACAAGUCGAACAUUUCCCUGUCGGAAGUCUCUUUCAAGUCUAUUAUUAUUAUUAUUAUUAUUAUUAUUAUUAUUAUUAUCUAUCGGAGACUGGAUGGACAGCUGUUGGGAGUGCUUUGAUUGUGCCUUUCCUGUAUGGCAAGGGUUGGACUGGAAGGCCCUUGGAAGUCUCUUCCAACUCUUUAUUAUUAUUAUUAUUAUUAUUAUUAUUAUUAUUAUUAUUGGAGACUGGAUGAGCAUCUGUUGGGAGUGCUUUGAUUGUGCCUUUCCUGUAUGGCAAGGGUUGGACUGGAAGGCCCUUGGAAGUCUCUUCCAACUCUCUAUUAUUAUUAUUAUUAUUAUUAUUAUUAUUAUUAUU